rnacentral:ncRNA from 2 species
GUUCGUCUUCAGGGCAGGGUGCAAUUCCCGACCGGUGGUAAAGUCCAUGACCUGAAGGAAUAGUGUGUGUGGUCAAACGGUUUGACCAGACGCGCUGCUCCUUCAGCUGAUUCGGUGCAAUCCCGAAACCGAUAGUAUAGUCUAGAUAAAGAGAAGAUAAGG